GCAACUUUGAGGGUCAUCCAGUUUGUGCUUCAACUGAACCAAUAACUAUUGGAGGCUAUUAUUCGAUGAUGCCAAAGGUGUUGGUGAGGUGCUAAACGAGACAAUAUGUGUCGUCAAUGAUUGCAGGGGCUUCUGUCCGUUCACAAUCUGCACGGGUCGAGAUGAUAGACGCUUUGUUUGGUGGUUUUAUUUUCAAAAGAUGAAGUUGUGUUCUUGCUUGUACGAGUGAUUGGACUGCUCGGGCCAAUCGAUUAUGAUAGGCUAGAAAGAGGUCACGAAACAAGCAAAUAUUUCACCGUUGAGUUCUGAGUUCGAUCUUUAUCUCGCAUAAACGAGGAAACAAACGAGAUGGAAUACAUAACCCCACAAGAAACAUCUUUGGAAGAACACGUACAAGUUUCCGAUAUAUUAUUACUCGAUUUUAUUGGUAACUUACUUGAGAUCGACGGGGCCUGCUUCUAUUUUAUUGAAAAUAAUGCGUUGCUCCAUCCUUUCUAGAACUUCUUUUUCAUGUAGAGGUAAAGGAGUUCCACUAUAGCUAGUAAUUAUGCAGUUGGUACUGCAAUAAUUUACCUUAUUAAAGUUUCCUGCUUUAAUUUUUUGUAGGUUGUUUAGGAUUUGUAUAAAUCCUUUUGUUCUAAUAUCAAACCAUUUUUCAUAGUC